rnacentral:rRNA from 1 species
UACGGGAGGCAGCAGUGGGGAAUAUUGCACAAUGGGCGAAAGCCUGAUGCAGCUAUGCCGCGUGUAUGAAGAAGGCCUUAGGGUUGUAAAGUACUUUCAUCGGGGAGGAAAAACAAAACUAAUAAUUUUAUUUCUUGACGUUACCCGAAAAAGAAGCACCGGCUAACUCCGUGCCAGCAGCCGCGGUAAUACGGAGGGUGCUAGCGUUAAUCAGAAUUACUGGGCGUAAAGAGCACGUAGGUGGUUUUUUUAGGUCAGAUGUGAAAUCCCUGGGCUUAACCUAGGAACUGCAUUUUGAAACUGAAAUACUAGAGUAUCGUAGAGGGAGGUAGAAUUCUAGGUGUAGCGGUGAAAUGCGUAGAUAUCUGGAGGAAUACCUGUGGCGAAAGCGGCCUCCUAAACGAAUACUGACACUGAGGUGCGAAAGCGUGGGGAGCAAACAGGGAUUAGAUA